rnacentral:lncRNA from 1 species
CAGUGGGCCUUCAGUGGACACGAGGCCACCAGGUGGCGGAUUCUCCUGCAGAAGGGGCACUUCUGGGGCUGGGGUGGCAGCUUGCGUUUCUUGGCGAUGGUCUAGUCCUCCAUGAUUGUAGCAUCUGUCUUUCUUUGAUUUGUGCUUCUGCAUAUUCUUCCCUUUUGGAUGCCUCGCACUCCCAAAACAGAACACCACUAGGUUCAGAGCCAGAGAACCAGAGAGACUGUAGACCUUAGCCUGCUUCUUAAAGGUGGACUCCACUGCCUCACCUCCUUCAGGCUCUGGAAGCCCUCCAUGUGCAGUUUACUCUGGGCACAAAGACGUCCACCCGAGGGUCCAAUCUGGCCCCUGAGCCGGUGGCCGUGGACAGGAAGCCCAACCCCACGCACACCGUGACCUGCUUACAGAUUGCUGCACCAUGCUGCAGCUGCGGCUCCUUGCACCCUCCGCAGCCUUGGCGCUCCCACCUGCAAACUGCUGACGGGACACGGAGCCUACGGCAGUCAGCUGAGCCCGUGGUCCUGGGCCCCUGGUCAAGCAGCUGCUGGCCCCUGAGAAGUCCGGAGGCAAAAGGGUGGCGGGAGAAGAGGCUGUGGCAGCUUCUCCAGCACUCCAGGUGAUGCUUAUGAUGCAACCAUUUGAAAACCACGACGGAGAACAAGAGGAAAUUGUCAGCCAAAGCAAAACUGAAGAAAAUUUGUGGCCACCCACUAACAAUCAAUAAUAUACAUAAAAUGCUGUUGACUUUUAUGGGCAAGCUAUAAGAAAAGAUCCAUCAGUAGAAUGUUGAAAAAUAGAAAAAGGAGUAAGGGAGGGGACUUCGCCAUACUAGUGCUUCCAAUAUAUGCCCACAUCGAGAAAUAUAAAGGAAGAAACUAUCCCUCAAUUACAUAAAAUACAGUCAUUUCAAUUCACUCUUUUGACGCAUAGUGUUUUGACUCAUGAUGCAUUGUAAUUAGGAGGAACUCACUUUGUUUUCUUUGUUGUCAUUGGCAAUCACGACUCAUGACACUUCUGCAGAUUUUGGUGGUAAAUGAGACCCUUGAAGGGUCUUCCAUGUCAGAGUUCAUUCUGAUUUACACAGUCCCGGGCCAGUUAAUAGUGUCUGGGAUUUAUUUUCC